AGAGUUUGAUCCUGGCUCAGAACGAACGCUGGCGGCAUGCCUAACACAUGCAAGUCGAACGAAGGCUUCGGCCUUAGUGGCGCACGGGUGCGUAACGCGUGGGAAUCUGCCUUGGGGUACGGAAUAACUCAGAGAAAUUUGAGCUAAUACCGUAUGAUGUCGCGAGACCAAAGAUUUAUCGCCCUGAGAUGAGCCCGCGU
rnacentral:rRNA from 1 species